GUUGGUAGCCCAAGGUUGAAAAUUUUUCUAAGUCUUUUGUAAGUGAACAUUUAAAAAAGACUUAGAAACAUUUUUAACCUCGGGCUACCAACGCUUGGUA
rnacentral:miRNA from 1 species